rnacentral:ncRNA from 1 species
CCUGAGAAAACCAAACCUACCGUGAGGUGGGGACGGAAAGCUACGGAUCUUUUCAUAAAGACAGCCGGGUUACCUCAA